AGGACUUUAAGUUAUCUAAACUGAAGGCCUUCAAAGCCUUAAAAAAAAGUAAAUCCUUUUAAGCCCUA
rnacentral:tRNA from 2 species